rnacentral:lncRNA from 13 species
CAGAAAUUUGGGACAAUUCAUUUGAUACUUUUUUUCCAUAUUUACACAUUUUUAAAUCUCUGUCUUUCUGGGCGUCACAUCCGCAGAGUCACAGAUGAAAUAGCUAAAUGAGAUUUUUAAAAAUAAAAAGCUUCAGAGGAAAAUAAAAAUCAUGGCCAUACAGUUUCCAAAGAAUUCAUAGUUCUCAUACUUAGACACAAUUAAAAUGUGCUUGCCAAGCAUGUAAGGCUGCCUGCUCCCUUCCACGAUGAUUGUAAGUUUCCUGAGGCCUUCCCAGCCACACAGAACUACUCAUGACAACUCCAUGAGGGACACUGUCAUCAGCUCCUGUGGAUUUGCUGAGAAGGCAGAGGCUCCAAGAGGGCAAGUCACUUGCCCAUCUUCUCGUGAGUGGGAUCAGGGUAACCAUGACAGGGAGGCC